AUCGAACGCUAGCGGCAUGCCUUACACAUGCAAGUCGAACGGCAGCGGGGGAGCUUGCUCCCGCCGGCGAGUGGCGAACGGGUGAGUAAUACAUCGGAACGUACCCAGUAGCGGGGGAUAGCCCGGCGAAAGCCGGAUUAAUACCGCAUACGCCCUACGGGGGAAAGGGGGGGAUCGCAAGACCUCUCACUAUUGGAGCGGCCGAUGGCAGAUUAGCUAGUUGGUGGGGUAAAGGCCUACCAAGGCGACGAUCAGUAGCUGGUCUGAGAGGACGACCAGCCACACUGGGACGGAGACACGGCCCAGACUCCUACGGGAGGCAGCAGUGGGGAAUUUUGGACAAUGGGCGAAAGCCUGAUCCAGCAAUGCCGCGUGUGCGAAGAAGGCCUUCGGGUUGUAAAGCACUUUUGUCAGGGAAGAAAUCGUUUGGGUUAAUACCCCGAGCAGUUGACGGUACCUGAAGAAUAAGCACCGGCUAACUACGUGCCAGCCGCCGCCGUAA
rnacentral:rRNA from 1 species